UACGUAGGGGGCGAGCGUUAUCCGGAAUUACUGGGUGUAAAGGGUGCGUAGGCGGUACGGCAAGUUUGAUGUGAAACCCUCGGGCUUAACCCGAGGCAUGCAUCGAAAACUACAGAACUAGAGUGCAGGAGAGGAAAGCGGAAUUCCUAGUGUAGCGGUGAAAUGCGUAGAUAUUAGGAAGAACACCAGUGGCGAAGGCGGCUUUCUGGACUGUAACUGACGCUGAGGCACGAAAGCGUGGGGAGCAAACAGG
rnacentral:rRNA from 1 species